rnacentral:rRNA from 1 species
UACGGGGGGGGCAAGCGUUGUUCGGAAUUACUGGGCGUAAAGGGCUCGUAGGUGGCCAACUAAGUCAUACGUGAAAUCCCUCAGCUUAACUGGGGAACUGCGUCUGAUACUGGAUGGCUUGAGUUUGGGAGAGGGAUGCGGAAUUCUAGGUGUAGCAGUGAAAUGCGUAGAUAUCUAGAGGAACACCAGAGGCGAAAGCGAAUCACUGGACAGAACCUGACGCUGAGGCACGAAAGCUAGGGGAGCAAACGGG